rnacentral:lncRNA from 1 species
UUUCAUUCCUGCAGAAACCACAAUAAAGGGACGUGCCCUCAGUUGCCCUGUCUCCCUCUGCCUCAUGACUGACCGCGGUGCAUGACCUGAGUGGCCUUGUGUGGCCUGCUGCUUUCUCCCCAGUGAACUGUGAAUUACUAAUUGAGGCAUAUUUUGUGACUAUGGCAGAGGCAAAAAAGUACAAACAAGUUGUUUUGGGGUGAGAUAAACAUUUAAAUUGGUGAACUUUGAGAGGAAAAUUAGAAGACAAGUAUCCUCAUUUCCACCUGGAUCCAGUCUUUCUUCCUUAUUACUUUUAUUAACAAUAUCAGUUAAGGUUUAUAUGGAUGUCUUGCUUUGGCCUGUACAAAAAACUACUUUGUAUAUGCCUUAUUUUAUUAAUUUUGCUUCUGAAUUUCAUCAAAUUCUCUGAUCAUAACUCUAUAUUCUUGUAAGGAAUGCUCAGAAUUAUACUAUUUCACUCCAAAUUUUAUUAUUAUUGAGACGAAACUGGGUAUAGAAAGUUGUGGGACCAGUUUGUAAUUUAUUGCUUUAAAAUUUGGUCAAGCCACUCAAAUUCUCUAGCUGUACCUAUGAAAUAGCUUUAAUAUUUCAAUCCCCUGCAUUUUCUUUGAAUAAUAUGGAGUUUGAAUUGAAGUGGUCCUGAAUUUGAGUGCUGCAUAUGCUACUUUUGAGAUAUGUGAUCUUGAGCAAGUUGCUUAAUCACAUUAAACCUCAAUUCUCUCAUCUUUAAAAUAGAAAAAAUAAUAGCUACUUUACAGUGUUGAGAAAAGAAUAAGAUGAAACAGUUUAUUAAAAACAUAGAAGAGUGCUUAAGACAUAAUAAAGUCUACAUAAAUUGUGCCUAUUGUUAUUACUAAUAAAAAAAAAAGAAAUUCUACGUGUCAGGAAUUUGAACAAAUUACAGCUGGAUUUGCAUAUUUCUUCCACAAGAUGUAUGUGGUCCCAUCUGAUAAUAGGGAAUUGGUUGGUAACUGGAAUCUUCUUGGAAACCUCUUAAAUCACAGAUCUUGCACUUGUACUGGGAUAAUCUGGAGUGUGUGCUCCUCUGAGUUUGUUGACCAAAUCACCUACAGGUGAACUCUCCAUAUAUGUAUUUUCCUAGUCAAUUCCUACACUGACCUCAAGCAAACACUGAUCAGCUUUCUGUCAUAAUAGAUGCGAUUUACUUUUUUAGAAUUUAAUAAAACUCAAAUUAUACUGUAUGCAUCCUUUUGUGUCUGGAUUGCUUUUUUUUCUCUGCCUUACAUUGUUGAAUAUAUUCUAGGUAUGUUUUACUAAUUGCUUGGUUGUAUAUUAAUGCAUACUGCAUUUUGUUUAUCCAUUCAACUAUUGAUGGAAAUUGGAGUUGUUUUCAGUUUCUGGUUAUAAAUAAAACAGCUAUGAACAUUUACAU